UAUUUUAUUUGCAGAUGAUACAUUACUUUUUUGUGAAGCGAACCAUAGUCAGAUUCAAUCGUUUUGAGCACUGUUAUUAUGUUUUGAAGCUAUGUCGGGACUUAGGAUGAAUCUUGGGGUGGCGAAUAUGAUUGAGAAACUCUUCCGGGCGUUCUUAUGGGGGGCCAUGGGGGAGG